rnacentral:sRNA from 1 species
UAUUCUGCCCCAUGGGGAAGGAUGAGAAGCUUCGACUAAGGUUCGACUCGAGCGCAGCGAGAGAACGUUGCCGCAGGCAACGGCCCGAAGGGCGAGGAGAGAUAGCGACGAGUUAUCCUUCCCCCACCACCA